UGGGGAAUUUUGGACAAUGGGGGCAACCCUGAUCCAGCCAUUCCGCGUGAGUGAAGAAGGCCUUCGGGUUGUAAAGCUCUUUCGGCAGGAACGAAACGGCGAGCUCUAACAUAGCUCGCUAAUGACGGUACCUGAAGAAGAAGCACCGGCUAACUACGUGCCAGCAGCCGCGGUAAUACGUAGGGUGCGAGCGUUAAUCGGAAUUACUGGGCGUAAAGCGUGCGCAGGCGGUUGUGUAAGACAGGUGUGAAAUCCCCGGGCUUAACCUGGGAACUGCGCUUGUGACUGCACGGCUAGAGUAUGGCAGAGGGGGGUGGAAUUCCACGUGUAGCAGUGAAAUGCGUAGAGAUGUGGAGGAACACCGAUGGCGAAGGCAGCCCCCUGGGCCAAUACUGACGCUCAUGCACGAAAGCGUGGGGAGCAAACAGGAUUAGAUACCCUGGUAGUCCACGCCCUAAACGAUGUCGACUAGGUGUUCGGUGAGGAGACUCAUUGAGUACCGCAGCUAACGCGUGAAGUCGACCGCCUGGGGAGUACGGUCGCAAGAUUA
rnacentral:rRNA from 1 species